rnacentral:misc_RNA from 1 species
AAGUGAUCAGCAACUCCUCUGGGAAGAAAUGUCGAGAGAGUUAUAGGCCUAUCCUCCUUAUAGGUGACUUCACCUAGGUCCUAAGUAUCUGUGAAAGAAAGAGUAGUCAAGUUUCACGACAGGGUAUGGGAAGCUUCUGUUCCUUCGCUAAUAACUUGAAUCUAGUGGAAAUUAAUCUUACUGGGAAAUGUUUCACAUGGAAGAGUGGAAACUCUAUGAGAAGGAUUGACAAAGCACUAGGCUCAUGCCAUUGGUUUCAAAAAUUUCCACAGUUGUCACUCAUCGGUCUCCCUAAAAGGCCCUCUGACCACAAACCGAUUGUUUUCACGGCAGAGGAGCCGAAUUGGGGACCCAAACCAAUCAGAUUCAUUGAUAUUUGGUGGUCCUGGCCCAAAUUUAAUAAAGUUGUUAAAGGUUUUUGGUCAGAAAUUUCUCAAUCUCAUACUUCAUUAGCUGUGAAAAUGAAGUUGCCAAGACAUAAGCUGAAUGACUGGAAUAAAAAUGUCUUUGGACAUAUUGACCACACCAUCUCUACCUUGAGAUGGUCUAUAGAUGCAUGGGACAAUGUUGCCGAAAACAGAGCCUUAUCAGAGUCUGAGCUUGAAAUUGUCCAGCAACUAAGGUCUAAUCUGCGAUCAUCGUCUUCAAGAAGUGAAUGCAUCUGGAGACAAAAGUCGAGAAUUUCGUAGUGUAAAUUGGGGGAUAGAAACACGAAAAUUUUCCACAUUCAAUGCUCUAAUAGAUGGCAGAAAAACAAGAUCAACACAUUACGUGAUAAUGGGAAAACUCUCUAAUAAAUCUUUGAUUUAAUUGGUAAUUGUCAGGCACUUUGAAGCAAGAUUUUGUUAGCACCUCCAAUUCUCUUGUGAAGGGCCACAUUUAAAUUAUGCUACGCUUAAUAGUCAUGAGGCCUGCACUCUUGAAGAACCUUUCACCUUAGCGGAGGUAAAAGCAGCGGUUUGGCAGUGCGAUGCCACUAAAGCCCCGGGACCUGAUGGGGCAAACUUUCUGUUCUACAAAAGAGCUUGGCUGAUCAUUAAGGAUGAUCUAUUUAAGCUUAUCUAUGAUUUUUAUGAAUUAGCUACCCUACCCUCUAGCAUAUCCUUAUCUUUUCUUGUGCUAAUUCCAAAAAUUGCAGGGGCUUCAAAAUGCAGUGAAUUUCGGCCCAUAAGUUUGAUCCAUGGGGUACAUAAAAUCAUUGCAAAGUUGUUAGCAAAUAGAUGAAAAUUUGUCAUGGCAUCCAUCACAAGCCAAAACCAAAAUGCCUUUGUCAAGGGCCACCAAAUCAUAAACUCCUUCCUAAUUGCAAAAUGAAAUUGUGGAUUACCAUAAAAAGAAGCAUAAGAGUUGUCUUCUCUUAAAGCAAGAUUUUGGAAAGGCCUUCGAUACUGUGCGGUGGUCAAACAUCAGGAGAACAAUGGAGUUUCUAGGUUUCGGGGAGAAAUGGAUUUCAUGGGUCAUGUCUUGCAUCACAAACGUCAGAUUUUCAAUCUUAUUAAAUGGUAGCCCAACUGAAGAAGUGAGAAUGCAGAAUAGGCUUAGGCAGAGGGACCCAUUAUCCCUUCUUGUUUAUCAUUUCCAUAGAGCCUUUGAGUCUCCUAAUUGCUAAAGCAUGUGACCAAGGUCUUCUUGAAGGAGUAUUGGUAGGUAACAAUGGAGUCACCAUAUCUCAUCAGCAAUUUGCGGACGAUACCCUCCUUUUUUGUCCUCCUGAACCUGGGUUUGUCUGUGUUCAUGCAAGAAUACUUUGUUGCUUCUAUUUAAUGUCAAGUCUCAAGGUGAAUUUCCAUAAAAGCAUUCUGUUUGGAAUAAACUUAGAUCUUUUCUACAAGUAGUUGCCUCCCUUACUUGCUGCAAGUUGGGACAAUUGCCUAUUAAAUAUCUCGGUUUCCCAUUAGGUGUAAACCCGAAGAGAUUCUCAACCUGGCUACGAGUAAUCAAUAAAAUUGAAGGAAGAUUAUCCUUCUGGAAAGGCAAAAUCUUGUCAAUGGCUGGAAGACUAAUGCUCAUCAAAUCUUGCCUCUCCAACACGCCAAUAUAUUAUUUAUUAAUCCUUAAAAUUCCAAAGAAAGUGGCUAUUAGAAUUGAGAAGUUGGUUCUUUUGGGAAGGAGGAAGCUCUUCAAGGAAAAUCCAUUUAGUGAAUUGGCGAAUCCUACUUCAGUCUAAAGCUAAAGGUGGGUUGUGUAUAACAACCUUCUUGUUACACAAUCAAGCUCUUCUUUUUAAGUGGCUUUGGAGACUCCAAUCAAUCUUAAAUCUCUUUGUGCAUUUAUAAUUCAGGCUAAAUAUAAUUUACAACAAGAUAAUAGUCUUUUUCUAGCAUUCAGGGGCUCAAUUUCUUGCGUAUGGAGAGAUAUACGGCACUCUGUUGUCUCUAAUCAUGGUAACUUUUCUAUUUUGGAUAGUAUUCUGUUUAUUUUGGGAGAUGGGCGAAAGAUUCAAUUCUAGCAUGGGUUUCUUGAAACCCCAUUGAAAUUUAGUUUUCCUAGGCUCUUUAACUUGUCUAUGGUUGCAAAUGCUUAUGUUGGUGAUCUUGGAGUUUGGGAAGGAGACACUUGGGUUUGGCAACUAUCUUAGAGAAGAAAUCUCUACCCUUGGGAAGUUGAAUCUUUAGCCCAGUUGAUGGUAAUUCUGAAUAAUGCAACACCCUGUAAUCAGAGGGCAGACAAAUUGAUAUGGAAACCAAGUACUAAUGGAAAUUUCACUGUAAACUCAUUAUAUAAAAGUCAUUCUCAAUGCUUUAAUACAAGAUGCCGCAGUUGCGUCAAAUGUUUGGCUUGAUCUCGCUGCACCUAAAGCAGAUCUCCUUGUGUGGCUUGCUUGUCAUGGUAGGUUGUGCACGCUAGACUGGUUAUGUAGAUUGAACUUCAUCCCUCUCUCCCAAAAUGUUUGCCCCUGUUGUUCUACUGGUAGGGAAAUAGUCUUGCAUAUUUUCUUAGCAUGUCACCACUCAUGGUUGGUAUGGAGCUCAUUUUUGAAUUAGUGGAAUAUAUCCUUUUGCCUCCCUGCUUCUGUAUCGGAAUUACUUGAUGAAUGGGGCUUUCUUGCUUAUGGUGCUUUUCAGAAGAAAUUCUGGUAUAAUUUAUCUUUUUUUAUUUUAUGGUUCUUAUGGUUAGCGCAGAAUGAUAAAGUUUUUAAUGAUUGUGAUACCUCCAUUAGUUCUCUCUGCUCUCUUAUUUUACAGUGCUUCUCCAACUGGGUGAAGGCUAUAUAUGGAGAUUUUCCAUUCUCAAGAUCAGACUUACUGAUUACCUCAGCCACAAUUCAAUCAUGGUCAAAUCCUCAUAAGCAGCAUCCACUUCUCCUAUAGGCUGCUUCUCCUCAGAAGUGGCUAAAAUGGAAUGUUGAUGGUUUUUCAUUAGGCAAACUUAGUAGAAGUGUAGUAGGUGGUGUUCUUAGAGACUCCUGAAGUCAUUUUGGCUGUGUAUUUUCAUACCCAGUAGGUAUUAUGGAAUCAAACAAAGCUGAAUUAUGGCCAUAUGCAAGGCUUUAAGGUUAUCUGUGGACCUACCAGAACUAUGGUGCUCCUCCAAAUCUCUCAUCAUUGAGUAGAAUUCGAUGAAUGCAGUUUGAUGGGUGACCAACCUAGAUUUUGCCCCUUGGAAGUUCUCCGCCAUUAUCAACUCAAUUCAGACUUUGCUUUCAUCUCUUCCCACGGUCUCCUUUACUCAUACUCUGAGGGAAGCUAACUCAAUAGCUGAUAUAUUAGCCAAGCAAGGUCUGAAUCGCUCAAUGGACUUUGUUGCACUACUCUAGGCUUUUAAGUAGCACCACUCAUCUUUUUUGGGCUUUUCUGUUGCUCACUACUGUUGCAGCCUUGAGUUUCGGGAUCUGCUUUGCUUUAUGCAGAAUUUGUGCUACUUUGUGUCUUGCGGCAACUUUAUUUGCUCUCCUUGUGAUUUUUCCAAGUUUUUGUUCUCAUUAUUGUGUCUUUGUGCUCAGUUUUGUCCUUCCCACAGCAGGAACUAAUUUUGUGUUUCGAUUGCUAAGUAUCCAUUUUGGCUUUAUAUCUUUCUGCUAGGUUUUUUCACUUAGAGUACUAUGUUCCUAGUUUGAGUGUAUUGGGGAGGUCUAUUGACCGGG